rnacentral:rRNA from 1 species
CCUACGGGGGGCAGCAGUCGAGAAUCAUUCACAAUGGGGGAAACCCUGAUGGUGCGACGCCGCGUGGGGGAAUGAAGGUCUUCGGAUUGUAAACCCCUGUCAUGUGGGAGCAAAUUAAAAAGAUAGUACCACAAGAGGAAGAGACGGCUAACUCUGUGCCAGCAGCCGCGGUAAUACAGAGGUCUCAAGCGGUGUUCGGAAUCACUGGGCGUAAGGCGUGCGUAGGCUGUUUCGUAAGUCGUGUGUGAAAGGCGCGGGCUCAACCCGCGGACGGCACAUGAUACUGCGAGACUAGAGUAAUGGAGGGGGAACCGGAAUUCUCGGUGUAGCAGUGAAAUGCGUAGAUAGCGAGAGGAACACUCGUGGCGAAGGCGGGUUCCUGGACAUUAACUGACGCUGAGGCACGAAGGCCAGGGGAGCGAAAGGGAUUAGAUACCCGAGUAGUC